rnacentral:lncRNA from 1 species
ACUUGCCAGUAGCUGCCUUUAUUUGCAGUCUUCUAACAGGGCCUUAAUUUCUGCUUCAUCUCUCCGGUCUGCUGGCCCUUCCAGCCCCCACCUAGUUCCCUUUAUCAUUCUGACCAUAACUUUAACUUCCAUCUCACCGUCUACCCUAAGAGUAGGAGGUAACUAUAAGCCAGAGAUCAUUUUAAUAUUUUCUCCUCCUUGUACUUUGAACCUCUGGAAGUAGUUUUAGUUUUUCUGUUCCUGUGGCACGUGGGUGGGAGACAAUCUAAAUGGCUGGGUGUGUGUACUUCACUGCCUCAGUCUUCCGAAUGGCUGGGAUUACAGGUGUGUGCCACCAUGCCAAACUAAUUUUUUGUAUUUUUUCUAUUUGCCUUUUCUGGUCAUUUCAUAUAAAGUAGAAUCAAAAUAUGCUGUCUUUUGUGACUGGCUUCUUUCACUUAGCAUAAUGUUUUCAAGGUUCAUCCAUAUUGUAGCAUGUAUCAGUACUUCAUUCCUUUUUAUGACUGAAUAAUAUUUCACUGUAUGGAUAUACCACAUUUGGUUUAUCCAUUCAUCAAUUGAUGAACAUUUGGGUUGUUUCCACUUUUUGGUUAUUAUGCAUAAUGAUGCUGUGAACAUUCAUGUGUAAGUCUAUAUGUGGACUUAUGUUUUCUUUUCUCUUGGAGUAGAACCAAGGAAUGGAACUGCUAGGGCGUACAGUAAUUUGUUUAGCUUUUAAAAGAAAAUGCCAAACUGUUUUCCAGAGUGACUGUGCCAUUUUACAACCUCAUCAGUAAUGUUGCGAGAAUUUCCAUUUCUCUACAUCCUUGCCAACAAUUGUUACUGUCUUUGAAUAUAGACAUCCUAAUAAUGAGUAUGAAGAAGUAUCUCAUUGUGAUUUUCAUUUAUAUUUCCCCAACAAAUAAUGAUGUUGAGCAUCUAUUUGUUCAUGUGAUUACUUUUUUAAAUAAUGUGCAAUAAAAAUGAAUUCUAGGAAAAAAGAAAUGAAAGAACAUGUAUAAGAUAUAAGCCCCAAUGUUUUUUAUUAGAAUCAACAGAUAAAGUUAUACUUCAGUAAAUAUAAUCAGAACAUAGGAAAAAAGAAAAUUAUAGAAACUGUGUACAUUUUUCAUUGAAAGUGUAUACACAGGCAAUUAAUAUAGAAAGUCACUUAGACUCAAGUUUUUUGUCCCUCAGAAUCAUAACAAAUAAUGAAGAGUGAAAUAGCAAUUCCAGAUUGACUUUGAAAAGGCCACCUUGUAUAUCAGUAUUUAGAAUUUUUAAUGUGACACAUGAGCUUGUUUCUUGUUUGUAAUAACUUGUCCACGUUGGAUUGAUGAUAAUGCUAAUCAUGAGAGAUGUUUCUUAUGUUUUCCUUUUAAUAACAUACAUACUAGAGAAAUCAUUCUCACAAAGGUAUGUUGAUGGGAAUCAAAGUAGAGAUUUGAAAUAAAUUUUAGCAAGUUCAGGAUAUUCAUUUUUAACUUUUAUUCAAAAUGAAGCAAGUGAUGGUAUAUUUUCAAAAUUUAUCUUCAUUCCUUCAUCAGUAACCAGUUCUUGCAUUUGAUCCGUAGAGUUGUAGUUAAAUUUGUCUUUCAAUGAAAAAAACAAAAUGGUUUCCAGAACAGUUGACAAACUACCCUUAAAAUGUCAUAUAUUAUAACAUGGUUUUACUGCACAUAACUGGUAUACAGUUUGUACCACAUGCAACUUGCCACACAAAUGUAUCAGCACCCAACCUGGUCUUUGCCCUAUUCAUCAAGGCAAGUCUGCUGAUCAUGAGCUGGGAUGUUGUGGCAUCGUUAUGCUGCUGUGAAAAUUCUUAUUUUCUGUAGUUUCAUUAUGCAUCAGUGGAGUUUGUGAACCAGCCAUUUUAUCCCUUUUUUACAUAUUAUAUGAUAUCCUAGCUUCAAGGAUAGAUAAUCAAAUAAAAGGAAUAAAAGGAGUACUAUAUUAAAAACGUCAGUGAAAUCUGGCAGCUUACCUGAAAGGAACGUGGGAACAAAGGUAGUUAAUACUACUGGGACCCGCUAGGUAUACUACACACUUCACACAUACACAAUUUAAAAACUGGGGCUAUAUAAAGAAUGUUGAGAUUAGUUGGUGCUGUCUUUAAACCGUAGGAAAUCUGUCACUCCUUAAUAAUAAACUAACAUAGUAUCUCAUCCUUACAGUGAAUUCUACCUUAUAACUAAGAUCAUUCACAUUGCAGUUUAAACUUCUUAAACUAAAACUAGAAUUGACAGUAGUGCAAAACUAUGAAAAAAUGAUUUGUCAUUAUGGCCAUGUGUCCUUUUAUUAGUUCAGUUAAAUUUCAAUUAAUUGUUUUUUUAAUGGUCUUUAAUCAUUUGUAAAUCGAUAGGGCACAGAUAAUCAGAAAAGUCUGAGAUUUGAUGUGGAUUAUCACUUUUAAAUUCAGGUUUUGGCUUGGACAACAGCGUUGCAAGCAGUCUAUAAAACAUCUGCCUACGAUAAGCAGUGAAACAUUGCAGCUUUCCAAUUACUCAACUCAUCCUAUUGGAAACCUUUCUAAGAAUAAACUGUUCAUUAAACUUACCCGCCUUCCACAAUACUACAUUGUAAGUAUGCAAAGGAGUGAUUUGGAGUGAUCAAGUUUAGUAAUUCUGUUAGUAUCUUGAAUGACUUAUUGUUUAACUUGCCAAUGAAUUUUAUUGAAUAUUUGACUUUGGUAUAGUGAAACCCAGGGG